rnacentral:rRNA from 1 species
GACGAACGCUGGCGGCGUGCUUAACACAUGCAAGUCGAACGGAAAGGCCUCUUUCGGGGGGUACCCGGAUGGGCAACGAACGGGUAACUCGUGCGUAACGUGCCUGUGAUUUUGCGAUAACUUCAGUAUACUGGCGCUAGUAACGAACACGUGCUCACUCUGCACGGAGGGGGUUGGAAUGAUACGGCGGAUGGCGAUGGACUCGCGGCUUAUCGGCUUGUUGGAGGGAUAGUGGCUGACCAAGGCUCUGACGGGUAGUCGUCCUGAGAGGGUGAGCGGCCACAAUGGGACUGAGAGACGGCCCAGACUCCUACGGGAGGCAGCAGUGGAGAGUAUUGCACAAUGGGUGGGAGCCAGAUGCGGCAACGCCGUGUGCGGGAUGACGGGCUUCGGGUUGAAAACCGUGUUCGCUCAUGACGGAGCUUUGUGUGACGGUAGUGGGUAAGGAAGCACCGGCUAACUACGUG